ensembl:lncRNA
UUCAAACCAGCCCAAGUAGGUACAGCUGAAGGUACACCCCAGAUCACUUUCUUCUGCUUUGAAUGGUCCUCAUGCCUUGCUUCUAUCAAACUGUAACUGCUCAGACCCCGCCCUCUACCACUGAAGACUGUGCUCCCAGAACAAAGCUGCAGGGCCAAGUCAUCAUGGACUAGUGAAGCCUAUGAAGCUAUGAACCAAAAUAAAGAACCUUCCUUCUGAGUCCCACAGUGUUUCUUCCCCAUGUCAAGGGCUCGCUUAUGCUCCCUUCCCCGAGUUAGCUUUUGGUAUUGGUGUGGCAAAACACCCGACAAGAGCAGCUUACAGAAGACAAGACUUAUUCUGCCUCAGUUUGAAGAUGCAGUUCUCUGAGGUAAGGCAGCAUGGCACCAGUAGUGUUGGGUGGCUGCUGCAAAAGGUCAGCAGUGAGGAAACAGGAAGGUGGAUGCUGUUGGUACUUGGCUUAAUUUCUCCUUUUUAAUCAGUCUAGGACCCCAGUUUGUGGGAAGAUGAGGCCCACAGGAUACAUGGGUCUUUCCAUCCAUUUGAAUCUCCCUGGAAAGUCAAUUACAGACACUCCCAGAGCGAUUUUCUGUGUCAUGACCUUUUGAGGAUCCAAUGACAGCUACAGACCCUUGAGUAGAAGAAUGCACAAAAGCAAACACAACAUUUAUCAUCCAACUUCAAGGGGUUGUGGACCCCUAAGAAGAGAACAUCCAUGCCCCAGGCUUUUCUUGGCUUCAGCUAAACUUGACCUCCUCUCUCCUGCACUGACCUGAGAUGUUUCCCUUAGCUGAUUUCCUGAACAUUUUAUUUUUCAAACAUUUAUAUUGAUGAAAAGAUUAAAUGAACCUUAAGUAUAAAAAAUAUUCCUUGACAUCAGGGAGCCUAUAGUACUUCCAAUCUUUUUAACAUCCAUCAUCAAAGAGACCAUCUUUCUAUUAUUAAUAAAUAAUUGGGGCCAGUGAAAUGGUUUGGAGGGUAAAGGUGCUUGCUGCCAAGACUGACAACCUGAGUUCAAUCCUGGGAACCCACAUGGUGGAAGGAAAGAACUGACUGACUCCUGAAAGUUGUCAUCUGACCUCCACACAUGGGAUAUACAUGUAUUUAUAUAUGCCCACGCACACCCAC